rnacentral:tRNA from 1 species
GCCAGCAUGGCUCAAUGGUUGAGCAUUGACCUAUGAACCAGUUCCUGGUUCGAUUCCAGGUCAGGGCA